GACGUAGGGUGCGAGCGUUGUCCGGAUUUAUUGGGCGUAAAGAGCUCGUAGGCGGCUUGUCGCGUCGAAUGUGAAAUCCCGUGGCUCAACUGCGGGUCUGCAUUCGAUACGGGCAGGCUAGAGUUCGGUAGGGGAGACUGGAAUUCCUGGUGUAGCGGUGAAAUGCGCAGAUAUCAGGAGGAACACCUGAGGUGAAGACGGGUUGCUGGGCCGACACUGACGCUGAAGCGCGAAAGCCAGGGGAGCAAACGGG
rnacentral:rRNA from 1 species